rnacentral:rRNA from 1 species
CCUACGGGAGGCAGCAGUGGGGAAUAUUGGACAAUGGGCGAAAGCCUGAUCCAGCCAUGCCGCGUGUGUGAAGAAGGCCUUCGGGUUGUAAAGCACUUUCAGUGGGGAAGAAAGCCUUGGGGCUAAUACCCUCGAGGAAGGACAUCACCCACAGAAGAAGCACCGGCUAACUCCGUGCCAGCAGCCGCGGUAAUACGGAGGGUGCGAGCGUUAAUCGGAAUUACUGGGCGUAAAGCGCGCGUAGGCGGUCUGAUAAGCCGGUUGUGAAAGCCCCGGGCUCAACCUGGGAACGGCAUCCGGAACUGUCAGGCUAGAGUGCAGGAGAGGAAGGUAGAAUUCCCGGUGUAGCGGUGAAAUGCGUAGAGAUCGGGAGGAAUACCAGUGGCGAAGGCGGCCUUCUGGACUGACACUGACGCUGAGGUGCGAAAGCGUUGGUAGCAAACAGGAUUAGAUACCCCAGUAGUC